rnacentral:rRNA from 1 species
CACGUACUGUGCGAACGUUAUUCGGAAUCACUGGGCUUAAAGGGUGCGUAGGCGGCGAAUCAAGUCAGGUGUGAAAGACCUGAGCUCAACUGAGGUAUUGCGCUUGAAACUGAUUUGCUUGAGUAUCUCAGGGGUGUGCGGAACUGCCAGUGGAGCGGUGAAAUGUGUUGAUAUUGGCAGGAACACCGGAGGCGAAAGCGGCACACUGGGGGAUAACUGACGCUGAGGCACGAAAGCCAGGGGAGCGAACGGGAUUAGAUACCCCGGUAGUCCUGGCUGUAAACGAUGAGUACUGAGCGGAAGGAAGUUCGCUUCUUUCUGCUGUAGUGAAAACGUUAAGUACUCCGCCUGGGGAGUAUGGUCGCAAGGCUGAA